GGGGGGGGCAGCACUUUGGGCGGACUCGGGUGCAGGCACCGGGGGGCCCAGACCUUGAGCUGUGUCAGGGGCCCCAACAUUUCUGAUGGCAGCCCUGAUCCUGCCACUCACAUUCUUUGAUCAGCUUUCCAGAUAGCAAAGUUCUUUUUUAACCCCUUAAGGACACAUGGCAUGUGACAUGUCAGGAUUCCCUUUUAUUCCAGAAGUUUGGUCCUUAAGGGGUUAAAGGUUAUUAAAGGAUCUUUUUGCAGUAAAUGCCAAACACACACACUUUCUUUCUCUUUGUUUCUCUUACUUCUAACUAGUGAUGUCCCGAACGGUUCGCGAACGGUUCACCGCGGACUCAUCAUUGAG